rnacentral:rRNA from 1 species
AUUGAACGCUGGCGGCAGGCCUAACACAUGCAAGUCGAACGAGUGGCGGACGGGUGAGUAAUGUCUGGGAAACUGCCUGAUGGAGGGGGAUCCCUACUGGCAACGGUAGCUAAUACCGCAUACCAUCGGAUGUGCCCAGAUGGGAUUAGCUAGUUGGUGGGGUAAAGGCUCACCUAGGCGACGAUCCCUAGCUGGUCUGAGAGGAUGACCAGCGAAACUGGAACUGAGACACGGUCCAGACUCCGACGGGGGGCAGCAGUGGGGAAUAUUGCACAAUGGGCGCAAGCCUGAUGCAGCCAUGCCGCGUGUAUGAAGAAGGCCUUCGGGUUGUAAAGUACUUUCAGCGGGGAGGCGUUACCCGCAGAAGAAGCACCGGCUAACUCCGUGCCAGCCGCCGCGGUAAUAC